rnacentral:rRNA from 2 species
GAGUUUGAUCAUGGCUCAGAAUGAACGCUGGCGGCAGGCCUAACACAUGCAAGUCGAACGGAGUUAUAUUGUAGCUUGCUAUGGUAUAACUUAGUGGCAGACGGGUGAGUAAUGUAUAGGAAUCUACCUAGUAGUACGGAAUAAUUGUUGGAAACGGCAACUAAUACCGUAUACGCCCUACGGGGGAAAAAUUUAUUGCUAUUAGAUGAGCCUAUAUUAGAUUAGUUAGUUGGUGAGGUAAAGGCUUACCAAGACAAUGAUCUAUAGCUGAUCUGAGAGGAUGAUCAGCCACACUGGAACUGAGAUACGGUCCAGACUCCUACGGGAGGCAGCAGUGGGGAAUAUUGGACAAUGGGCGAAAGCCUGAUCCAGCCAUGCCGCAUGAGUGAAGAAGGCCUUCGGGUUGUAAAGCUCUUUUAGUGAGGAAGAUAAUGACGGUACUCACAGAAGAAGUCCUGGCUAACUCCGUGCCAGCAGCCGCGGUAAUACGGAGAGGGCUAGCGUUAUUCGGAAUCAUUGGGCGUAAAGGGCGCGUAGGCGGGUUAGUAAGUUAAAAGUGAAAUCCCAAGGCUCAACCUUGGAACUGCUUUUAAAACUGCUAGUCUAGAGAUUGAAAGAGGAUAGAGGAAUUCCUAGUGUAGAGAUGAAAUUCGUAAAUAUUAGGAGGAACACCAGUGGCGAAAGGCGUCUAUCUGGUUCAAAUCUGACGCUGAGGC